GUCCUCCUACGGGGCGCAGCAGUGGGGAAUAUUGCACAAUGGGGGAAACCCUGAUGCAGCGACGCCGCGUGAGUGAAGAAGUAUUUCGGUAUGUAAAGCUCUAUCAGCAGGGAAGAAAUACUGGCCUUACGGUCAGCAGACGGUACCUGACUAAGAAGCCCCGGCUAACUACGUGCCAGCAGCCGCGGUAAUACGUAGGGGGCAAGCGGUAUCCGGAUUUACUGGGGGUAAAGGGAGCGUAAACGGCAGCGGAAGUCUGAAGUGAAAUCCCAUGGCUUAACCAUGGAACUGCUUUGGAAA
rnacentral:rRNA from 1 species